CUCAGCAGGCUGUCAGUCGGCAUCAGACCACCGCAGAAAGGAGUAGGAACAGUCUCCAAACUUCCAGCGAAAGAAAGAGGAGUUUCCUGCUUCGUUGGAGAAACUCCGGCAGCUAAUAGAAGAAGAGGUUCACAUCCUAGAAUCAUCCAUUGUUGAUCAGGGUUUGGUGUGUGAGGACACGACAGG